rnacentral:rRNA from 1 species
UUGAACGCUGGCGGCAGGCCUAACACAUGCAAGUCGAGCGCGAAAGUUCUUCGGAAUGAGGUAAAGCGGCGAACGGGUGAGUAAUGCAUGGGAAUCUGCCUGUAGUGGGGGACAACGUCUCGAAAGGGACGCUAAUACCGCAUACGCCCUACGGGGGAAGGGGGGAUCUUCGGACCCCUCGCUAUCAGAUGAGCCCAUGUCAGAUUAGCUAGUUGGUGGGGUAAAGGCUCACCAAGGCGACGAUCUGUAACUGGUCUGAGAGGAUGAUCAGUCACACUGGAACUGAGACACGGUCCAGACUCCUACGGGAGGCAGCAGUGGGGAAUAUUGGACAAUGGGCGCAAGCCUGAUCCAGCCAUGCCGCGUGUGUGAAGAAGGCCCUAGGGUUGUAAAGCACUUUCAGUGGGGAGAAAAGUGAUCACCUAAUACGUGAGUUAAUUGAUGUUACCCACAGAAGAAGCACCGGCUAACUCCGUGCCAGCAGCCGCGGUAAUACGGAGGGUGCAAGCGUUAAUCGGAAUUACUGGGCGUAAAGCGCACGUAGGUGGUUUGUUAAGCUAGCUGUGAAAUCCCCGGGCUCAACCUGGGCACUGCAGUUAGAACUGGCAAGCUAGAGUAGGGUAGUAGGGGUGUGGAAUUCCAGGUGUAGCGGUGAAAUGCGUAGAUAUCUGGAGGAACAUCAGUGGCGAAGGCGACACCCUGGACUCAUACUGACACUGAGGUGCGAAGCGUGGGGAGCAAACAGGAUUAGAUGCCCUGGUAGUCCACGCCGUAAACGAUGUCUACCUAGCCGUUGGGAGCCUUGAGCUCUUAGUGGCGCAGCUAAACGCACUAAGUAGACCGCCUGGGGAGUACGGUCGCAAGAUUAAAACUCAAAUGAAUUGACGGGGGCCCGCACAAGCGGUGGAGCAUGUGGUUUAAUUCGACGCAACGCGAAGAACCUUACCAGGUCUUGACAUCCAGAGAACUUUCCAGAGAUGGAUUGGUGCCUUCGGGAGCUCUGAGACAGGUGCUGCAUGGCUGUCGUCAGCUCGUGUCGUGAGAUGUUGGGUUAAGUCCCGUAACGAGCGCAACCCUUGUCCCUUAGUUGCCAGCGCGUAAUGGCGGGAAACUCUAAGGAGACUGCCGGUGACAAACCGGAGGAAGGUGGGGGAUGACGUCACGUCAUCAUGGGCUGCCUUACGACCUGGGCAUACACACGUGCUACAAUGGCGGUACAAAGGGCUGCCCAAACCGCGAUGGUGGAGCUAAUCCCAUAAAACCCGUUCGUAGUCCGGAUUGGAGUCUGCAACUCGACUCCAUGAAGGUCGGAAUCGCUAGUAAUAGGCAAAUCAGAACGUUGGCGUGAAUACGUUCCUCGGGCCUUGGAUACACACCGCCCGUCACACCAUGGGAGUGGGUUGCAAAAGAAGUAGCUAGUCUAACCGCAAGGGGGACGGAUUACCACUUUGUAGUCAUGACUGGGGUG